rnacentral:rRNA from 1 species
AUGGCGCUCCCCGUGGCUCCAAUGGCGCUCCGAGCGGCCGACGACGACAACGGCGGGCAGUUCACCACGCAUCACGUAGUGGACACCCACAUGAGGGGGAAGGCCCUCUCGGUGAUGUACACGAACGAUCCGGUUUCGAUGGAGAGCUCCAUCCAAACUAUGGAGCAGUUCCUUGCCGAGGACAAGUACCGAGUGGUCGGCUUCGACCUCGAGUACACCAUCGGUCGUGCCGGGCACGAUCAGAAGGUUGUCAUCGCCCAGUUGUGCGUGCGACAUGACGUCCUCGUCUACCACUUCCACCUUGCCACAAGGCCUUGCAAGCUGCAUGCAAUCAAGGAUCCGAACAUACUUGGAGACCAUCUUGAUUCUCCAAGUGCCAUGAGCUUUGCUAUCUCUUUGACAUUUGGUUCUCUCUACUUCGUUCUAAACACGUUGACCACUGCAAAUAGCAAAUCUCACCAUGGCUUCGAGGCAUGUGCUCUCAAACAUCUGGAGGCACGAUCCGCCGGCAGGGGCGGGGUCUUGGCGGAGAGGCGGUUUGGUGGGGCGGCAGAGGUCCGGCAAGGCCGACACGGCUCCAAGGGGGCUCUAAACAUGGUUUACAGCAUGACGAACGCCCAAACUCCCCCGCAGUUCCCCAGUUUGGGGCUGGCCAAGGAGAUUUCAAAAAUUCUGGGUCAAAAUGGGCCACGUUGGAGGCCUAAAAAUAAAGGAAACAGCAGUCGCUUGCCUGCACCAGUAUUUUCGGUACAAGGAUAUGCCAAGGAGUUAUACCGCCAAAGAAAUCAAAUGCAUUUAGCAGAAACUUGCAGUUCCACGCAUGCAUUCACCGACGCAUGUAUCUGUCCUGAACUCCCAAACCUAUCUUCCUGGGCCCGUUUGGUCAAUUGGCAUGUGAACUACAAAAGAGAAUUUCACAUACCACCCCCUCCUCUAUGGCAUCAUUUUUUCACACAUGGUUCUUCUGGGCUUUCAGUCCGGGCUUCGGGUGAGAAAGUGGAGCCCGAGUGUGGACCGGAUGCCAAGCUUUCGGGCUCGGGCCUCUGGGCCGGGCUGCCCAUGCACAUGUCUACUUUCAACCAAAAACAGCUAAUAGUGUCCUAUGACAAAGAUAAUCCUCCGAUUGUGGAGGAGACAAAUUAUCCUUGUUUGAAUUCAGAAUGCACUUGCAACCUUUGUGAUAAAAAGGAAUAUGGAUAUAGAACCGAAAAAGGUGAUCCACCUCUGAUUUGCAGAAGGAACUUCAAGAGUAGUGCCAUAUCAAAGUUCCACAUCAUAGAACAUUUAAUGCAAGGAGAUGACAUUUAUAAGGGCAAGGGAACAUCAGAGCAGUGGAGCAGGGCGGCCAGCGGCGAGCAGAGCAAACAGCGGACGGACUGGAGACAGAGGCUAGAAGGUACCCAGGAGGUGGAGUACGGCUGCUGCUGCGAGGGGUCGAUUACAGCAGCGGAGCUUGCUGCAGUGCUACAAGCAAUGGAUGAGAAAUAUCAACCUUUGUUUGAUGCACUCAGCAGACAGGGAGGUGGCAUGAGAACAGAACCUGAGACUAAGGAAGAGAUCCAUCCUUUACAGAUGCCUCAUGUGAAGCUCGAGGGAUCAGAAAGUUAUGCAAGUUGGGCUGAACAUGCCGAGACCAUGUUGGUCUCCAGGAAAUUGGAAGGCUACAUACUUGGUGCAAUUGAAAAACCAGCGGAUGAAAGCUCAAGGGAAGGACAGAAGUGGAAGAUGACCAAUGCACUUGUAAGGGCGUGGUUGUUGAGUUCAUUGUCUCCCCAAAUUGCCAAGCAGGUUGAGAGGAUCAAGGAUGCAUCUGAGAUCUGGAGGCUCCUCAAGGGUACCUACUCUGGAGUUGGGAAUGAAAUGUUGGCUUGCAGGAUCCAAAGAGAGCUUCAGGAGCUAAGUCAAGGUGAGAAAUCAGUGGUGGAGUACGUGCCUGAGUUAAAACGUUUGUGGAGUGAUCUUGACUACAAUGAUUCGAUUGAGAUGGAGUGUGGCAAGUGCAUUGAGAGAAGGCGUGUCAGGGAUUUUCUAAAUGGGCUUAGUUCCAAGUUUGAAAACAGAAGGGCUGCAUUGUAUGGUAGUGGGAUACUACCUAACAUGGAGCAAGCAGUGUCUGCAAUUAUUAGCGAGGAAACUCGGUUGAAGUUGGAGGCUACAGGGUCAGCUACACAGGGCGUCGCACAGAGGCGCUCAGCCUUCCUUGCUACAGAAGGGGUGGACUUCCAAAGAUCAGGAGGAGGUACAUAUGAGAGGAAAUGUUUUGAAUGUGGUCAGCCAGGACAUUUGCGACUCUCUUGCCCUGUACUAUUUGGAGGAGGCCGGGGUAGAGGACAAGAGUGGCGAGGCAGGGGUCGUGGACGUGCAUUUGAUGGACGCGGAGGUAGCCGAGGACGUGGUAUGCGACCUGCAGGCAAGGCGAAUACCUCAACAAUUAUUGAAGAAGCCUCACAAACUAUGAAAGUGGAGAUGUCGGUUGAUGACUGGGAGAAAUGGAGCAAAUUUAAGGCAAUAUGUUUGGAUGACAAGCAAUCUACCGGGGCUCAUCUUCCAACUUCGGUGGAACUUGGGACUGGAAGAAGGCUUGGGACAGUGAACAUGCAUGAUGGCCUGUAUUACUUAGAUGAUAACAUGUCACCUACGGUUGCUGCGGUUGCUGCUGUGUCGUCUCACUCUCCACUAGAGGAAUUUCUCCAUCAUCGCAGGCUAGGACAUAUGUCUUUUGUCACUCUGGAUUGUGAGACAGGGGAAGAUAAAGAAGAGGAAGACAAUUAUGUGGGCAGGAUGGAAACAGACCAAGAACAGGUGGAGGGGGAGCAACAAGAUACAUCAAAUGGAACAUUACAGUGGCCAAGGCCGAAUGAGGAACGUGAUCUUAAGGUGUAUACACAAAGACACCAAACUGGGAAUGAACAUGUGCAGGGGGAGGAAAUUAUUCUUGAAGCCCAAGAACAACCUAACACGCAUGGUUCAAUCCCAAGUCCAACUUCAUCCCAGGCUCCACUGCCAUCCUCCACGAGUGAUGGUACACUCUCUUCUCCAUAUGAUGAUCUAGAUGUUCCUAUUGCCCACAGAAAGCAGCCUCGCACAACAUCUGGGAAAUUACCCUCAAAACUGUCCCCAUAUAUUGUUUCUAAUCAUGUUUAA